rnacentral:lncRNA from 1 species
GACGUUAAAACAAAGACUUGAGGGACAUAAGAAUGAUAUUAAAGCAGGCAGAACUUCUACCGCCUUAGCAGAACAAGCCUAUGUUAGUGAUAUGCAAGUUGAGCGGGACCAAGCCGAAAUAAUUAAGACAAUUAGAAUGCCAUCACAAGUGGUAACUCAGGAGACUAUAGAGAUUUGGAAGAGGAGAGAAAACCAAGACCUAAUAAAUGACAGGCCCACUGCAGAGUUACCAGCAGCUUGGAAGUGCAUGUUGAGAGACUGUAAAAAAACUAACAGAGACUUUAGACGGAUCUAAGACUUGUAUGAUAUUACCGGCCAACUGAC